AUUAACGCUAGCGGCAGGCAUAAUACAUGCAAGUUGAACGGCAGCACAGGUAGCAAUACUGGGUGGCGAGUGGCGCACGGGUGCGUAACACGUAUGCAACCUACCCUAUACAGGCGAAUAACCUUUAGAAAUGAGGGCUAUUACGCCGUAGUAUUACAGAUGGGCAUCUAUUUGUAAUUAAAGAUUUAUCGGUAUAGGAUGGGCAUGCGUCCCAUUAGUUAGUUGGUAAGGUAACGGCUUACCAAGACGAUGAUGGGUAGGGG
rnacentral:rRNA from 1 species